rnacentral:rRNA from 1 species
UGGGGAAUAUUGGACAAUGGGCGGAAGCCUGAUCCAGCAACGCCGCGUGAGGGAUGACGGCCUUCGGGUUGUAAACCUCUUUCACCCAUGACGAAGCGUGAGUGACGGUAGUGGGAGAAGAAGCACCGGCCAACUACGUGCCAGCAGCCGCGGUAAUACGUAGGGUGCGAGCGUUGUCCGGAAUUAUUGGGCGUAAAGGGCUCGUAGGCGGUUUGUCGCGUCGGGAGUGAAAACACACAGCUUAACUGUGUGCUUGCUUUCGAUACGGGCAGACUUGAGGCAUGCAGGGGAGAACGGAAUUUCUGGUGUAGCGGUGAAAUGCGCAGAUAUCAGAAGGAACACCGGUGGCGAAGGCGGUUCUCUGGGCAUGUUCUGACGCUGAGGAGCGAAAGUGUGGGGAGCGAACAGG